rnacentral:rRNA from 1 species
ACGCUGGCGGCAGGCUUAACACAUGCAAGUCGAACGGUAACAGGAGAAAGCUUGCUUUCUUGCUGACGAGUGGCGGACGGGUGAGUAAUGCUUGGGAAUCUGGCUUAUGGAGGGGGAUAACGACGGGAAACUGUCGCUAAUACCGCGUAGAGUCGAGAGACGAAAGUGCGGGACCGCGAGGCCGCAUGCCAUAGGAUGAGCCCAAGUGGGAUUAGGUAGUUGGUGGGGUAAUAGCCUACCAAGCCGACGAUCUCUAGCUGGUCUGAGAGGAUGACCAGCCACACCGGGACUGAGACACGGCCCGGACUCCUACGGGAGGCAGCAGUGGGGAAUAUUGCGCAAUGGGGGCAACCCUGACGCAGCCAUGCCGCGUGAAUGAAGAAGGCCUUCGGGUUGUAAAGUUCUUUCGGUAUUGAGGAAGGUUGUUGUGUUAAUAGCACGACAAAUUGACGUUAAAUACAGAAGAAGCACCGGCUAACUCCGUGCCAGCAGCCGCGGUAAUACGGAGGGUGCGAGCGUUAAUCGGAAUAACUGGGCGUAAAGGGCACGCAGGCGGACUUUUAAGUGAGGUGUGAAAUCCCCGGGCUUAACCUGGGAAUUGCAUUUCAGACUGGGAGUCUAGAGUACUUUAGGGAGGGGUAGAAUUCCACGUGUAGCGGUGAAAUGCGUAGAGAUGUGGAGGAAUACCGAAGGCGAAGGCAGCCCCUUGGGAAUGUACUGACGCUCAUGUACGAAAGCGUGGGGAGCAAACAGGAUUAGAUACCCUGGUAGUCCACGCUGUAAACGCUGUCGAUUUGGGGAUUGGGCUUUAAGCUUGGUGCCCGAAGCUAACGUGAUAAAUCGACCGCCUGGGGAGUACGGCCGCAAGGUUAAAACUCAAAUGAAUUGACGGGGGCCCGCACAAGCGGUGGAGCAU